rnacentral:rRNA from 1 species
UACAGAGGAUGCAAGCGUUAUCCGGAAUGAUUGGGCGUAAAGCGUCUGUAGGUGGCUUUUUAAGUCCGCCGUCAAAUCCCAGGGCUCAACUCUGGACAGGCGGUGGAAACUACCAAGCUGGAGUACGGUAGGGGCAGAGGGAAUUUCCGGUGGAGCGGUGAAAUGCGUAGAGAUCGAAAGGAACAUCAGUGGCGAAGGCGACAGUCUGGCUCUAUACUGACACUGAGGCGCGAAGGCGUGGGGAGCAAACAGG